CCCCACACACACACACAUACACAGUCUCACGUGACCCCGCUGUCAGCGCCUCUGCCUGAGAGCGAGAGCGGGCGGGGUGUACUUCAACGUGAGAGCACAGUUGAGCGGGCGGCACUAGCAAAACAGAUCGCGAUUUUUGGGUUUGCUAUCCGUUGCCGUACAGUAAUACUAUGCGGAAGGGCAGCUGGGAUACUUAUGAUUUGCAGUCAGAUACUCAUCUUCUUCUUUGAUUUAUUUUCUCUGCUGUUAGGCUCACCAUCUGAUAUCCUGAAAUAGGUGCUGAAGCCAGUGCUCUGAAAGGGUGCUUUUGCUACUGAAUUCUUUAAAAAUAAUAAUUUUAUUGCUUUUUACUCCUGUCCGCCCUUAACAUCUUUUAAAAGGGUACCAGGCUUUUUUGGUAUCUUGCCCUCAGUUUCACCAUGAACUAUCAAAUUCAUGCAGGGCAAACGUGUUAGCAAAAUGGAACCUCCAUGUAUAGCAGCCAUAUACCUCUGAGUACUACCAGAUGUUGUGUGGGGUGUAUAGUCAACAAAGGGUGUUGUGUGCCUGACUUCAACUUGCUUUGCUUAUGAACUUCCCAUGGGCAUCUGUUUCUCCAUUCCUGGACUAGAUGACUCCCUUGAUCUGAUCCAAGAUAAGCUGUUCUUAUUAAUUCCAUAUUGUUUUAAAGGUUCCUAGUUGUGUUGAACAGUCCGGUUUAAUUUUCAUGUUUUGCUUUGUUUUUAAAUACCACUCCCUUCCCUCAGUUUGUUUUAUAUUAAUUGGCCAGUUACUUGUUCGAAAAGAACAAGGGGUUGUUUGGUUUUUGGUGUGUGAGUUUUAGAGAGCUUAACACCACCACCAUCACCACCACCCUGUGAAACUUGGCCCAUGCUAUUUUCACAACCUUACUCUACAAAAAUGCCACCCCUAGCUGGAAAUUCCAUCCUCCACUAUUUAAGAGUUUCCAAACUCCUCCCCCCCGCACCCCGCCAUCCUUCCUUUAACAUCUGUGUACAGAAAUGGCACAGGAACCCUACGUAUUGGCAACUGACUAAUCAUUUUAAAGGGUAAACAAUGUGUUGUUAAAUGUGGGGUGUCUGUAGCUCACAAUGUACGUAUAUUGAUUUCUCCCAGCUAAAGUAUUUCCUGGACCUUCCUCUCCUGCCCAAUGAGAGCUAGUCUCUGCUCAUUCACAUGUGAGCCAUCCCCAGGAAAGUUAAUAGAAUCCAUAUGAUUGAAGGAGAAGUUACUUAGAAACUGAAGCAAAGAGAACUGGAAUGGGUAUCUAUGCCAUGGAACUGUGGAAAUAUGCCUUUUGUUUUGUGGAACUACAUUUAACAUCAGGGGGUCAUUCUUUGUGGUUCAGGAAUCAUACUGGGAGGCUCUAAUAUAAGGGUAGUUUCUUAAAGAGGAGGGGCACCUUACAGUACAUUCAUAGCCUUCCAGGUUAUAUGAACGAUGCUUCAAAGUUGUGCAUGCUCUGAUUUGAAUCCACACUAUUGAAUGGGUUGCUUCAGACAAUGGUAAAAUUUAUUUAUUAAUUAGAAUUUUCUUAUAUACUGCUUCCUCCAAAGACUCUAGGUGGUGAGGAUUUAGUUCACUUUCACAGGAUGGAAGUCAUUUGUUAUGUAUUACCACCUUAAGUGGCAUAGCGAGGAAAUGCUUGACUAACAAGCAGAAGGUUGCUGGUUUGAAUCCCCGCUGGUACUACAUCAUAUUAUAUCGGGCAACAGUGAUAUAGGAAGGUGCUGAAAGGCAUCAUCUCAUACUGCGUGGGAGGAGGCAAUGGUAAACCCCUCCCGUAUUCUACCAAAGAAAAGCACAGGGCUCUGUGGGUUCCAGGAGCUGAAAUUGAAUUGACGGCACACUUUACUUACUUAGGACAAGAGGUUUGUGUUUGCAACAGAGAUGACAUCCUAUGCUUAUCAACAUGAAACGGUCUGCAAGUUAUCCCUGUUGCAUAGCAACCAGAUUCAGAUGACCAGCUCAAAACUUAAGGUGUAUUCUUCAUCAGUGAUGCAAUUAACCAAACAACUGGCACACUCCUUGAAACUGGAAUGGCACUGUGUUUCCAAACUUCCAGCUGCGCUGCCAUCUCCAUGUCCACUGCUGGGCCUAGCUACUUCCACACAUUUUGUCUGCACCCACGUCAGUUAUUUUUCUCCCUCUGAUGCUACUGAUUUUGUUUAAUAUUGUCACUAUUGUCUAUCUUACCAAUAUUGAACAAAGUUGAUAAUGAACCAUUUCCCCCUAUGAGUCCCAGCUGAUCGCAUUAAGCACAUAUCACAUGAUGGUGAUGGUGGUAAAAUUAUAUGAUAAUAAGAAGGUGGUAAAAUUAUAUGAUAAUAUGACCAUAUAAUGGGGCCAAAAAUAUGUUUUAAAUUGGAAGGAGUGCUAACAGCUGUACCAACAUUAAACCUCAUUGUGUAAUUUUGGAAUAACACCGGUGUUUAGUAGCACAGCGGGGAAAUGCUUGACUAACAAGCAGAAGGUUGCCGGUUUGAAUCCCCUCUGGUACUAUAUCGGGCAGCAGCGAUACAGGAAGAUGCUGAAAGGCAUCUCAUACUGCGCAGGAGGAGGCAAUGGUAAACCCCUCUGUAGUCUACCAAAGACAACCACAGGGCUCUGUGGGUGCUAGGAGUCGACACCGACUUGACAGCACACUUUACCUUUACCUUAGUAGUUCUACAUAUACAAAAGCCAUAUGCAUAUUUUUAACCAAAGUCUGAAAUUCCUUUGAUUUUGCUACAAGUCUCUGUUCUGUGCUUUAAGAAGUUUCCUAAAAAUAGCAUGAUUUGAAAUAACAGAGUGGGAAGCUGCCAGUCCUAUGACUUAACUGCAAAGUCCACAUACACCAGAGCAGCUUCUGGAAACAAGCAACUUGCAACUGUCUUGCAGCAGAGAUCAUGAUUGUUGCAGCUCCUCUG